CAAUCGGCCCUUUUCAGGGCCAUCAAAUAUUUAAAACGCAUUGAAU
rfam:Trichomalopsis sarcophagae strain Alberta scaffold2259, whole genome shotgun sequence.